GCCCUUGUGUAGUUCACACGCGUGAUGGUUGGGUGUCCACGCUCUUGCGACACGUGCCUCCCAAACCUUGUUACGACAUCGGCACGUUACCCGUCUGACA